rnacentral:rRNA from 1 species
GACGAACGCUGGCGGCGUGCUUAACACAUGCAAGUCGAACGGAAAGGCCCUGCUUUUGUGGGGUGCUCGAGUGGCGAACGGGUGAGUAACACGUGAGUAACCUGCCCUUGACUUCGGGAUAACUUCAGGAAACUGGGGCUAAUACCGGAUAGGAGCUCCUGCUGCAUGGUGGGGGUUGGAAAGUUUCGGCGGUUGGGGAUGGACUCGCGGCUUAUCAGCUUGUUGGUGGGGUAGUGGCUUACCAAGGCUUUGACGGGUAGCCGGCCUGAGAGGGUGACCGGCCACAUUGGGACUGAGAUACGGCCCAGACUCCUACGGGAGGCAGCAGUGGGGAAUAUUGCACAAUGGGCGGAAGCCUGAUGCAGCAACGCCGCGUGCGGGAUGACGGCCUUCGGGUUGUAAACCGCUUUCGCCUGUGACGAAGCGUGAGUGACGGUAAUGGGUAAAGAAGCACCGGCUAACUACGUGCCAGCAGCCGCGGUGAUACGUAGGGUGCGAGCGUUGUCCGGAUUUAUUGGGCGUAAAGGGCUCGUAGGUGGUUGAUCGCGUCGGAAGUGUAAUCUUGGGGCUUAACCCUGAGCGUGCUUUCGAUACGGGUUGACUUGAGGAAGGUAGGGGAGAAUGGAAUUCCUGGUGGAGCGGUGGAAUGCGCAGAUAUCAGGAGGGACACCAGUGGCGAAGGCGGUUCUCUGGGCCUUUCCUGACGCUGAGGAGCGAAAGCGUGGGGAGCGAACAGGCUUAGAUACCCUGGUAGUCCACGCUGUAAACGGUGGGUACUAGGUGUGGGGUCCAUUCCACGGGUUCCGUGCCGUAGCUAACGCUUUAAGUACCCCGCCUGGGGAGUACGGCCGCAAGGCUAAAACUCAAAGGAAUUGACGGGGCCCCGCACAAGCGGCGGAGCAUGCGGAUUAAUUCGAUGCAACGCGUAGAACCUUACCUGGGUUUGACAUGGAUCGGGAGUGCUCAGAGAUGGGUGUGCCUCUUUUGGGGUCGGUUCACAGGUGGUGCAUGGCUGUCGUCAGCUCGUGUCGUGAGAUGUUGGGUUAAGUCCCGCAACGAGCGCAACCCUUGUUCACUGUUGCCAGCACGUUAUGGUGGGGACUCAGUGGAGACCGCCGGGGUCAACUCGGAGGAAGGUGGGGAUGACGUCAAGUCAUCAUGCCCCUUAUGUCCAGGGCUUCACGCAUGCUACAAUGGCUGGUACAGAGAGUGGCGAGCCUGUGAGGGUGAGCGAAUCCCGGAAAGCCGGUCUCAGUUCGGAUUGGGGUCUGCAACUCGACCUCAUGAAGUCGGAGUCGCUAGUAAUCGCAGAUCAGCAACGCUGCGGUGAAUACGUUCCCGGGGCU